rnacentral:rRNA from 1 species
GAUGAACGCUGGCGGCGUGCCUAAUACAUGCCAGUCGAGCGAACAGAUGAGGAGCUUGCUCCUCUGACGUUAGCGGCGGACGGGUGAGUAACACGUGGAUAACCUACCUAUAAGACUGGGAUAACUUCGGGAAACCGGAGCUAAUACCGGAUAAUAUAUUGAACCGCAUGGUUCAAUAGUGAAAGACGGUUUUGCUGUCACUUAUAGAUGGAUCCGCGCCGCAUUAGCUAGUUGGUAAGGUAACGGCUUACCAAGGCAACGAUGCGUAGCCGACCUGAGAGGGUGAUCGGCCACACUGGAACUGAGACACGGUCCAGACUCCUACGGGAGGCAGCAGUAGGGAAUCUUCCGCAAUGGGCGAAAGCCUGACGGAGCAACGCCGCGUGAGUGAUGAAGGUCUUCGGAUUGUAAAACUCUGUUAUUAGGGAAGAACAAAUGUGUAAGUAACUAUGCACGUCUUGACGGUACCUAAUCAGAAAGCCACGGCUAACUACGUG